GUGGUAAUGCCGGAUGCUCCAGUUGAUCGCAUGGUGUUCUGGGAAAGCCUUUGCGGCAUGGGAUGGGGUCGCGUCCUAUCAGCUUGAUGGCGGGGUAACGGCCCACCAUGGCUUCGACGGGUAGCCGGCCUGAGAGGGCGACCGGCCACAUUGGGACUGAGAUACGGCCCAGACUCCUACGGGAGGCAGCAGUGGGGAAUAUUGCACAAUGGGCGCAAGCCUGAUGCAGCGACGCCGCGUGAGGGAUGGAGGCCUUCGGGUUGUAAACCUCUUUUGUUAGGGAGCAAGGCAUUUUGUGUUGAGUGUACCUUUCGAAUAAGCACCGGCUAACUACGUGCCAGCAGCCGCGGUAAUACGUAGGGUGCAAGCGUUAUCCGGAAUUAUUGGGCGUAAAGGGCUCGUAGGCGGUUCGUCGCGUCCGGUGUGAAAGUCCAUCGCUUAACGGUGGAUCCGCGCCGGGUACGGGCGGGCUUGAGUGCGGUAGGGGAGACUGGAAUUCCCGGUGUAACGGUGGAAUGUGUAGAUAUCGGGAAGAACACCA
rnacentral:rRNA from 1 species